AUUGAACGCUGGCGGUAUGCUUAACACAUGCAAGUCGAACGGUAGCAGGCCUUCGGGCGCUGACGAGUGGCGGACGGGUGAGUAAUGCAUAGGAAUCUGCCUUGUAGUGGGGGAUAACGUGGGGAAACUCACGCUAAUACCGCAUACGACCUACGGGUGAAAGGGGGGGACUUUCGGGCCUCCCGCUAUAAGAUGAGCCUAUGUUGGAUUAGCUAGUUGGUAAGGUAAAGGCUUACCAAGGCGACGAUCCAUAGCUGGUCUGAGAGGAUGAUCAGCCACACUGGGACUGAGACACGGCCCAGACUCCUACGGGAGGCAGCAGUGGGGAAUAUUGGACAAUGGGCGGAAGCCUGAUCCAGCAAUACCGCGUGUGUGAAGAAGGCCUGAGGGUUGUAAAGCACUUUCAAUGGGAAGGAACACCUACGGGCGAAUACCUCGUAGACUGACAUUACCCAUACAAGAAGCACCGGCUAACUCCGUGCCAGCAGGCGCGGUAAUACGGAGGGUGCAAGCGUUAAUCGGAAUUACUGGGCGUAAAGCGUGCGUAGGCGGCAGAUUAAGUCAGAUGUGAAAUCCCCGGGCUUAACCUGGGAACUGCAUUUGAUACUGGUCGGCUAGAGUUGAGUAGAGGAGAGUGGAAUUUCAGGUGUAGCGGUGAAAUGCGUAGAGAUCUGAAGGAACACCAGUGGCGAAGGCGGCUCUCUGGACUCAAACUGACGCUGAGGUACGAAAGCGUGGGUAGCAAACAGGAUUAGAUACCCUGGUAGUCCACGCCGUAAACGAUGUCAACUAACCGUUGGGUUCUUAAAGAACUUAGUGAAAAAAUAACGUANUAAGUUGACCGCCUGGGGAGUACGGCCGCAAGGCUAAAACUCAAAUGAAUUGACGGGGGCCCGCACAAGCGGUGGAGCAUGUGGUUUAAUUNGAUGCAACGCGAAGAACCUUACCUACCCUUGACAUCCAGAGA
rnacentral:rRNA from 1 species